rnacentral:lncRNA from 1 species
AUCAGGAAUAACACGAUGUUUUGAUUUAUAUCAAUUGUAUAAAUCAAAACAUAAAGGUUAUUCCUGAUUGAUUUUUCGAAUUAUUUUAUAAUUAAAGGCGUUAAGAAACCUUUGGUGACCCCACAGUUUAAAUGUCUAUCGUAGGUACGUCGUUAACAGUGGUCGUAACAGACACACGUUCACGUAAAUUGUCCCAGUCAAUGGAUGAAUUUAAUGUGUCAAUCAAUGGCC